rnacentral:tRNA from 1 species
GCCCGGAUGGUGGAAUGGUAGACACGCCGGACUUAAAAUCCUGUGACCAUUGUGGUCGUGCGGGUUCAAGUCCCGCUCCGGGUA